UACGAAGGGGGCUAGCGUUGCUCGGAAUUACUGGGCGUAAAGGGAGCGUAGGCGGAUAGUUUAGUCAGAGGUGAAAGCCCAGGGCUCAACCUUGGAAUUGCCUUUGAUACUGGCUAUCUUGAGUACGGAAGAGGUAUGUGGAACUCCGAGUGUAGAGGUGAAAUUCGUAGAUAUUCACAAGAACACCAGUGGCGAAGGCGGCUCACUGGCCCGAUACUGACGCUGAGGCACGAAAGCGUGGGGAGCAAACAGG
rnacentral:rRNA from 1 species